rnacentral:lncRNA from 1 species
GAAUCAGCACUUUGUAAAUACACCUUUUCGCGAUCACCUGAAACUCUUAAUGGGUUUAGGUGAAGAGAAGAAUAGAUAAUUGGGCUACACAAAGAGAACAAGAUAUGAAUCAUGUUAGAGGGAGUCAAAAGAUUCAGAAUUUUACUUUCAUGGACCUGCAAAAUGAAUGGAAAAGGAUAAUGAGUAGCAUCACUGCAUAAAAGUUGACAUAUUUAUGUGUAUCAAUUUAAACAUUAUACUCAAGCAAAACAACCCCUUUAUUUUUUUGAAGACAUUUAUACUUGUAAAUGAUAUAACCCUGAAAAAAAGUGUGCUGUGGC